ensembl:misc_RNA Y_RNA Y RNA
GGCUGGUCUGAAGGUAGUGAGUUAUCUCCAUUGAUUGUUCACAGACAGUUACAGAUCAAACUCCUUGUUCUACUCUUUCUCCCCUUCUCACCACUGCACUUGACUAGUCUUAU